rnacentral:rRNA from 1 species
UACGGAGGUGGCAAGCGUUGUUCGGAAUUACUGGGCUUAAAGCGCGUGUAGGCGGAGCGGUAGGUGCCGUGUGAAAGCCCCGGGCUCAACCCGGGAACGGCAAGGCAUACCGCCGCUCUUGAGGCAGGUAGAGGUGGGUGGAACAACUGGUGGAGCGGUGAAAUGCGUAGAUAUCAGUUGGAACGCCGGUGGCGAAAGCGGCCCACUGGGCCUGUCCUGACGCUGAGACGCGAAAGCGUGGGUAGCAAACAGG